UACAGAGGGUGCGAGCGUUGUUCGGAAUUAUUGGGCGUAAAGGGCGCGUAGGCGGUGCGGUAAGUCACCUGUGAAAUCUCCUGGCUCAACUGGGGAGGGUCAUUCGAUACUGAUCGACUCGAAGGCAGGAGAGGGUAGUGGAAUUCCCGGUGUAGUGGUGAAAUGCGUAGAUAUCGGGAGGAACACCAGUGGCGAAGGCGACUACCUGGCCUGUUCUUGACGCUGAGGCGCGAAAGCUAGGGGAGCAAACGGG
rnacentral:rRNA from 1 species